GACGAACGCUGGCGGCGUGCUUAACACAUGCAAGUCGAGCGGACAGGCCCUUCGGGGUACUCGAGCGGCGAACGGGUGAGUAACACGUUAGUAACCUGCUCCAGACUUUGGGAUAACCCUCGGAAACGGGGGCUAAUACCCGAUACGACACAGCUUCGCAUGGGGUCUGUGUGGAAAGUUUUUCGGUUUGUGUUGGGCUCGCUGCUUAUCAGCUUGUUGGUGGGGUGAUGGCCGACCAAGGCACCGACGGGUAACCGGCCGGAGCGCGGAGCCGGUCACAAGAGGACUGAGAGACGGCCCAGACUCCUACGGGAGGCAGCAGUGGGGAGUAUUGCGCAGUGGGCGGAAGCCUGAUGCAGCGACGCCGCGUGAGGGAUGCCGGCCUUCGGGUUGUAAACAUCUUUCAGCAGGGACGAAGCGUAAGUGACGGUACCUGCAGAAGAAGCGCCGGCCAACUACGUG
rnacentral:rRNA from 1 species